UACGUAGGCAGCGAGCGUUGUUCGGAGUUACUGGGCGUAAAGAGUGCGUAGGCGGUUGUUUAAGUCUGUGGUGAAAUCCCCGGGCUCAACCUGGGAAUGGCGAUGGAUACUGGGCAGCUAGAGUGUGUCAGAGGACGGUGGAAUUCCCGGUGUAGCGGUGAAAUGCGUAGAGAUCGGGAGGAACAUCAGUGGCGAAGGCGGCCAUCUGGGACAACACUGACGCUGAAGCACGAAAGCGUGGGGAGCAAACAGG
rnacentral:rRNA from 1 species